AAGCAUAUAAUUAAGCGGAGGAAAAGAAACUAACCAGGAUUCCCCCAGUAAGGGCGACUGAAGCGGGAAGAGCUCAGGAUGUAAAUCUGCGUCCCUCGCGGGCGCCGAAUUGUGGUCUUUCGACGGCGGCGUUACUGGCCGGGCCAAGUCCUUUGGAACAGGGCAGCUGAGAGGGUGAGACUCCCGUCCGCCCGGCCGGGUGAGCCGCUAGUCAACGAGUCGAGUUGUUUGGGAUUGCAGCUCUAAGCGGGUGGUAAAUUCCAUCUAAAGCUAAAUAUUGGUGGGAGACCGAUAGCGUACAAGUACCGUGAGGGAAAGAUGCAAAGAACUUUGAAAAGAGAGUUAAAGAGUACCUGAAAUUGCUGAAAGGGAAGCGAAGGAAACCAGUGCCACGACGUGCCAUACUUCCCUGGCCGCUUGCGGCUUGGGCGCUGUGGCGUCGUCAUGUAGUUCUGCUGUGGUUGGGCCCUUCGGAAGAGCGCUCGAGGGAGUUGACCUCGGGUGGCUAGCGUUGGACCCGACCGAGCAGGACGAAAUGGUUUUCUUCACCCCGUCUUG
rnacentral:rRNA from 1 species